UACGUAGGCAGCAAACGUUGUUCGGAAUUACUGGGCGUAAAGAGUGUGUAGGCGGUUCUGCAAGUUUGGGGUGAAAUCUCCCGGCUUAACUGGGAGGGUGCGCCGAAAACUGCAAGGCUAGAGUACUGGAGAGGAAAGCGGAAUUCCUGGUGUAGCGGUGAAAUGCGUAGAUAUCAGGAGGAACACCGGUGGUGUAGACGGCUUUCUGGACAGUAACUGACGCUGAGACACGAAAGCGUGGGGAGCAAACAGG
rnacentral:rRNA from 1 species